ACGAACGCUGGCGGCGUGCUUAACACAUGCAAGUCGAACGGAAAGGCCCUGCUUUUGUGGGGUUCUCGAGUGGCGAACGGGUGAGUAACACGUGAGUAACCUGCCCUUGACUUUGGGAUAACUUCAGGAAACUGGGGCUAAUACCGGAUAGGAGCUCCUGCUGCAUGGUGGGGGUUGGAAAGUUUCGGCGGUUGGGGAUGGACUCGCGGCUUAUCAGCUUGUUGGUGGGGUAGUUGCUUACCAAGGCUUUGACGGGUAGCCGGCCUGAGAGGGUGACCGGCCACAUUGGGACUGAGAUACGGCCCAGACUCCUACGGGAGGCAGCAGUGGGGAAUAUUGCACAAUGGGCGGAAGCCUGAUGCAGCAACGCCGCGUGCGGGAUGACGGCCUUCGGGUUGUAAACCGCUUUCGCCUGUGACGAAGCGUGAGUGACGGUAAUGGGUAAAGAAGCACCGGCUAACUACGUG
rnacentral:rRNA from 1 species